rnacentral:rRNA from 1 species
CGUGUAGGCGGUUCGGUAAGUGAGAUGUGAAAUCCCUCGGCUCACCCGAGGACCUGCAUCUCAAACUGCCGGACUAGAGUAUGGGAGAGGAUGAGGGAAUUCCUGGUGUAGCGGUGAAAUGCGUAGAUAUCAGGAGGAACACCGGUGGCGAAAGCGCUCAUCUGGCCCAAUACUGACGCUGAGGCGCGAAAGCUAGGGGAGCAAACGGGAUUAGAUACCCCGGUAGUCCUAGCCGUAAACGGUGAUCACUAGGUGUUGGAGGCAUCGACCCCUCCAGUGCCGCAGCUAACGCAUUAAGUGAUCCGCCUGGGGAGUACGGCCGCAAGGUUGAA